GAUGAAGAACGCAGCGAACGUGCGAAACGUAAUGUGAAUUGCAGAAUUCAGUGAAUCAUCGAAUCUUUGAACGCAUCUUGCGCUCCUUGGUAUUCCGAGGAGCAUGCCUGUUUGAGUGUCGUGAAUACUCUCAACUUCAACCCUUUUUUCGGAAAGGGAGGAAGGUUGGACUUGGGUGUUUGUUGAAGUGCGAGCUUCGACUCAUCCUAAAUGCAUUAGCAAUCUGCCUCGAUCACACACAAUGUGAUAAUUAAAACUAAAGCAUUGUUUAAUGAUCAAGUCGAGACUGCUUCUAACUGUCGCAAGACAAUAACGUGCAUACAUUUGUGCAUGUCAUUUGACCUCAAAUCAGGUAGGACUACCCGCUGAACUUAAGCAUAUCAAUAAGCGGAGGA
rnacentral:misc_RNA from 1 species